GCCUCAGGUGGGGACUCCUGCGGGCAUGGGGUGGCGGGGAACCACCAUGUGCACCCUUUGCGUAUUUGUGUAGCAGACCUUGCCUGCCACACAGCAACUCCCCUCUACCUCACUUCUUACCAAACCUUGCUUCUGUUCAGGGCAGCCGUGUGCCCAGCUGGAAACGUCCCUUGCAGUUAGAUGUGGCCACUGGACGGAUUCUGGUCUAUGGGGAUUUAAAGCGACGUUUCUCCUCAGAUGCUGUCCCUCUCCCUGCCCCCUGUCCCCCUUUCUUCCUGAUGGCACCUUGAUGGCUGGGGCUGCGUUCUGCAACAUGAGGAAGAGACCGGCGGCAUCGUCUUGCAGAGACCUCAGCUGUGAUGGCCUUGAGCCGUGCAGGGUCCCCCGUGGUCUUCUUGCUGUGAGUAGAGAUCCUCUGGGGACUGACAAAACACACAAGACGCUGGUAAGAUUCAGGCUCAGCAGCUCUGGAGGGGCCUGGGGCUCUGCAUUCCUGAGGGCCUCUUGAGUGAUGCAGACACAGCUGGUUGGGGCCACACUCUGAGGAGCAGGUGUUCAGCCGCCAUUCCAUCAGGUUUCAGCUACGCGCAGCCGGGUGUGACCUGGGGCGGCCAUUCCUUCAGGUUUCAGCUACGCGCAGCCGGGUGUGACCCUGCCCGGGGUGGCCAUUCCAUCAGGUUUCAGCUACGCGCAUCUGGGUGUGGCCCCUGCCCGGGGUGGCUAUUUCAUCAGGUUUCAGCUACGAGCAGCCGGGUGUGACCCUGCCCGGGGCGGCCAUUCCAUCAGGUUUCAGCUACACGCAGCCGGGUGUGACCCUGCAUGGGGCGGCCAUUCCAUCAGGUUUCAGCUACGCGCAGCCGGGUGUGACCCUGCAUGGGGCGGCCAUUCCAUCAGGUUUCAGCUACGAGCAUCUGGGUGUGACCCUGCCCGGGUCGGCCAUUCCUUCAGGUUGCAGCUACGCGCAGCCGGGUGUGACCCUGCCCGGGGCGGCUAUUUCAUCAGGUUUCAGCUACACGCAGCUGGUGACAAUGAGAAUCCAGAGGGCAUUGCUCUGGGAUGUUGUAGUGAAUAAUCAUGGUCGAUUUGCCUCUGAGCACGCGAGAUUCAUCCACAUCACUCAGUUUCUCCCAAGCAUGUUUUCCUGGAGGCUGAGCCCGUGCUGUCGGGAAGGGCCCUCUCUUUGCCGUGCAGAAUUCACAAGCAGGGCUGGAGAUAGGAGCAGGGGCCUGGACCGGAAUCGCAGGGCUGGAGAUAGGAGCGGGGGCCGGACCCGAAUCCUUCAUGAUGGGGUGAGGCCAUCCCCAUGGCACCUCUGCUGUUUGUUCUGCCGCCAGGGUCCACUGAGCACCUGCCAUGCCACACCCUGGGCCAGGAGGUCCAACCUGGCGGAAUGCAAUGGUCAAGGUCUCUGUCCGCCUGCGGCCUCCAUCCUGGGCUGAUGCACUGGGGAAUCAUUUAUUGUCCCAAACUGUGACAGCUGUGGGAAGGAAAGUGUCAGAGUGUGUCAAAGGCUAUGACUCAGGCUGCGGUGCUCUUGGGGGCUUCUCUGGAGGGGACGACCGUCCUGGGUGCAGGUGUGGCUGGAGAGGAGGGAGGUGAGGCCGCCUGGGCCAGUGGCGCUGCCCGCUGAGCUGCGAGGAGGGCGGGCCUUGGUCAGUAGUGGCCACUGGGUCCCAGCCCAGGCGCUGAGGGAGGGGUUGCUUCGUCCCCCCGGCUCUCACCCACCUGUCUCCCACCCCCGUGAUGUGACUCAGCUGCUCACCCUACUAGAGUCUCUUUCCCGUUCCUUUGUUCUGUGUCUGGCCGUGGGAUGGGACACGGGCGGAGGCUGGGAAGGCACCUGCUGGCUCUUCCUGUCACCCUCGCCGAGCGGUGUCUAGGCUCCCCGGUGGAGAAUGAGACACACUCGAGGGAUGGGGGCUCUUCCUCUCACCCUCGCCGAGCAGUGUCUAGGCUCCCCGGUGGAGAAUGAGACACACUCGAGGGAUGGGACAGAGCUGCCUGGUGGCAGCCGAGAGCCAAGCAGCCCUAGACGAGUGAGUGAGUCCCGAGUGACCCCGGCGAGGACAGAAGAGCCACCUGCUGAGCCCAGCCUGACCCCUGACCUGCGGCUUGUGAGCUAAAUACAUACUCGGGUUGAAACCAGAGUUUCCGGGUGAUUUGUUUCUAAGCAUUAUUGCUACAAAGGCAAACUGAUGCAGUGAGGAAGUGUGAAAGGAGGCUGGAGGGGGUGGGGCAGACUCUGCAGGGCCUGGGCCACACGCAGUGAGAGAUCUGGGGCACUGAGCAGUUGGGGCUGGGGUGACGGGUCAGCUGUGACUUCCCUGCGCACUUGGCACUCUGCAGAGGGCUCUGAGAAUCUCUUUUGCCACGAGGAAGAGCCUCAGGGGAGCUCGCUGGGCAGGGGGUGGUCUGGGCUGUGCAUAAGCGGGAUUGACACCAGGCUGGGCUGGCGGGGGCGGGGGGCCCCCCAGGACUCAGGCCUCAGGGGCUGGAGGGGAUGCUCA
rnacentral:lncRNA from 1 species